rnacentral:pre_miRNA from 1 species
AUUGCGCUUUUAGUUUUGUUUAAAUGGAAGCGAAACUUACUAUAUAUGGUAAUUUUUGCUACCAUUUAAACAAAACUAAAAGCGCAAUAUU